UUGACCUCGGAUCAGGUAGGAAUACCCGAUGAAGUUAAUUCAUUCGUA
rnacentral:rRNA from 1 species